CCUACGGGAGGCAGCAGUGAGGAAUAUUGGUCAAUGGGCGCGAGCCUGAACCAGCCAAGCCGCGUGAGGGAAGACGGUCCUACGGAUCGUAAACCUCUUUUGUCGGGGAGCAAAAGACGCCACGCGUCGCGUGACGAGAGUACCCGAAGAAAAAGCAUCGGCUAACUCCGUGCCAGCAGCCGCGGUAAUACGGAGGAUGCGAGCGUUAUCCGGAUUUAUUGGGUUUAAAGGGUGCGCAGGCGGAAGAUCAAGUCAGCGGUAAAAUUGAGGGGCUCAACCACGUCGAGCCGUUGAAACUGGUGUUCUUGAGUGAGUGAGAAGUAUGCGGAAUGCGUGGUGUAGCGGUGAAAUGCUUAGAUAUCACGCAGAACUCCGAUUGCGAAGGCAGCAUACCGGCGCUCAACUGACGCUCAUGCACGAAAGUGUGGGUAUCGAACAGGAUUAGAUACCCGAGUAGUC
rnacentral:rRNA from 1 species